rnacentral:tRNA from 1 species
AGAGUUUGAGCUUGAAUAAGCUUAUGUUUUGAAAACAUAUGAUAUUAAUUAAAUUAAUAAAUUCUU